rnacentral:rRNA from 1 species
GGCGGCGUGCUUAACACAUGCAAGUCACGGGGGCCCGCAAGGGCAACCGGCGAACGGGUGCGUAACACGUGAGCAAUCUGCCGAUGUCUGGGGGAUAGCCGGCCCAACGGCCGGGUAAUACCGCAUACGUUCUCGUGGGGGAGUCCCCGCGGGAAGAAACCUCCGGGGGACAUCGAGGAGCUCGCGGCCUAUCAGCUAGUUGGUGCGGUCACGGCGCACCAAGGCUAUGACGGGUAGCUGGUCUGAGAGGAUGGCCAGCCACAUUGGGACUGAGAGACGGCCCAGACUCCUACGGGAGGCAGCAGUGGGGAAUCUUGCGCAAUGGCCGAAAGGCUGACGCAGCGACGCCGCGUGCGGGAGGAAGCUCUUCGGGGUGUAAACCGCUGUUGCCCGGAACGAAACCCACCUUUCGAGGUGAUUGACGGUACCGGGUGAGGAAGCACCGGCUAACUCUGUGCCAGCAGCCGCGGUAAUACA